rnacentral:rRNA from 1 species
AUUGGGCGUAAAGCGUCCGUAGCUGGUUAUUCAAGUCUGCGGUCAAAGCUUGGGGCUUAACUCCAUAGAGCCAGUGGAAACUGAGUGACUAGAGUGCGGUAGGGUUCGAGGGAAUUCCCAGUGUACCGGUGAAAUGCGUAGAUAUUGGGAAGAACACCAGUGGCGAAAGCGCUCGACUGGGCCUGCACUGACGCUGAGGGACGAAAGCUAGGGGAGCGAAUGGGAUUAGAUACCCCAGUAGUCCUAGCUGUAAACGAUGGAUACUAGGUGUAGCUUGUAUCGACCCGAGCUGUGCCGAAGCUAACGCGUUAAGUAUCCCGCCUGGGGAGUACGCACGCAAGUGUGAAACUCAAAGGAAUUGACGGGGGCCCGCACAAGCGGUGGAGUAUGUGGUUUAAUUCGAUGCAACGCGAAGAACCUUACCAGGGCUUGACAUGUCCGGAAUCCCGGUGAAAGCUGGGAGUGCCUUCGGGAGCCGGAACACAGGUGGUACAUGGCUGUCGUCAGCUCGUGUCGUGAGAUGUUGGGUUAAGUCCCGCAACGAGCGCAACCCUCGUCUUUAGUUGCCAGCAUUAAGUCGGGCACUCUAGAGAGACUGCCGGUGACAAACCGGAGGAAGGUGGGGAUGACGUCAAGUCAGCAUGCCCCUUACGCUCUGGGCGACACACGUACUACAAUGGUCGGGACAGAGGGCAGCGAACCUGCGAAGGCAAGCUAAUCCCAGCAAACUCGGCCUCAGUUCAGAUCGCAGGCUGCAACUCGCCUGCGUGAAGGAGGAAUCGCUAGUAAUCGCCGGUCAGAAUACGGCGGUGAAUCCGUUCCCGGGCCUUGUACACACCGCCCGUCACACCAUGGAAGCUGGCCACGCCCGAAGUCGUUACCCUAACCUUUCGGGGAAGGGGACGCC